ACUUUUAUACGUGGUAGCCAUAUUUAAUAUAAGUUAAGGAUUAAAUUCUUUCUAACAAGUUUCGAAUAGUUCUAUAUAAAAACAAAUUUUUCAUACGUAGAUUACCAUUUAAACCUUUUCUUUAAUAAAAUAUUUUUGAUUUGAUGUAUUUAUGUAUUGAAAGAGUAUAUUAAAGAUAUGUUGCAUAAAGUUGUAUGGUUUGAAUCAAUUAUACUGAUUAACGUAGUUCGAUUGAGUACCUCUAUACGGAAGUGACAGGAAUUGCGAUUGGUAGGGUAGCAUUAUUUUAUUACGUGUCAUGUACGCAAAUCUGCUUUUCUCGAUUGCUUGAGAAUACUAAAACGAGCUUUUGAAGUUUUUAAAUAUUUUAUUAUUUUAAUUAUUAAAGCAAGAAGAUGCGUCAAUUGAAAGGAAAGACAAAAGAAACAAAUAAACAGAAGAAAGAAAGGAAAAAGGAAUUUCUAGAGAACAAGCAGCGUGUUUUUACUGUUGUGUUACCAACCAUUGCUGCAAUAUUUGUUGUAAUAGCAGCAUAUGUUUAUGUUAAAACCCGUCCAAAAGUUGUUGAGUAUUAAUUGGCAUGUGUUCAUUAUUGAUCAUUAAACCACAAUACACAAUGUAUUUUGAGAAUGCUUGGACAGUUCCUUGAUACAUUUGUACAAUUAAAUAAGAAUUAUUUAAAUAAGAAAGCGGAUUUGAAUGUCUGCUCAUGGCACUUCAUUCCUAACAUUCUAUAAUCAAAUAUAGACAUUGUGCAUUAA